rnacentral:lncRNA from 1 species
AAGUCUGGAGGUCUAGAAUCAGGGUUGUAGGAUAGGGGCUCCUAGAGUUUUUCGUACGCCUCCUCCGGGGUUGGGCGUGGGUCAGCAGGGUUACCCAUAGAUGACUUGUAUUUUAGCUUAGCUUAUGUCCCCCCUAUGGCUGUUAGUUAUGGUAGUUACUGUAUGAUAUUAUUGCAUGCAAUUGUAUUUAUGUUUCUUUUGUUUAGAUAAUUAUUUA